UUCUGGCUCAGGAUGAACGCUGGCGGCGUGCUUAACACAUGCAAGUCGAACGGAGUACAUCAACCGAGACCUUCGGGUCUCAUCUGUUGUACUUAGUGGCGGACGGGUGAGUAACGCGUGAGCAACCAACCUUAUGCAGAGGGAUAACAAUUAGAAAUGAUUGCUAAUACCGCAUAAGACCACAGCACCGCAUGAUGCAGUGGGAAAAAACUCCGGUGGCAUAAGACGGGCUCGCGUUCGAUUAGCUGGUUGGUGGGGUAACGGCUCACCAAGGCGACGAUCGAUAGCCGGACUGAGAGGUCGACCGGCCACAUUGGGACUGAGACACGGCCCAGACUCCUACGGGAGGCAGCAGUGGGGAAUAUUGCACAAUGGGGGAAACCCUGAUGCCAGCGACGCCGCGUGAGUGAUGAAGUAUUUCAGUAUGUAAAGCUCUUUUAGUAGGGAAGAAGAUGACGGUACCUACAGAAACAGCCCCGGCUAACUACGUGCCAGCCGCUGC
rnacentral:rRNA from 1 species